rnacentral:rRNA from 1 species
CCUACGGGAGGCAGCAGUGGGGAAUAUUGCACAAUGGGCGAAAGCCUGAUGCAGCGACGCCGCGUGAGGGAUGACGGCCUUCGGGUUGUAAACCUCUUUCAGCAGGGAAGAAGCGAGAGUGACGGUACCUGCAGAAGAAGCGCCGGCUAACUACGUGCCAGCAGCCGCGGUAAUACGUAGGGCGCAAGCGUUGUCCGGAAUUAUUGGGCGUAAAGAGCUCGUAGGCGGCUUGUUGCGUCGGUUGUGAAAGCCCGGGGCUUAACCCCGGGUCUGCAGUCGAUACGGGCAGGCUAGAGUGUGGUAGGGGAGAUCGGAAUUCCUGGUGUAGCGGUGAAAUGCGCAGAUAUCAGGAGGAACACCGGUGGCGAAGGCGGAUCUCUGGGCCAUUACUGACGCUGAGGAGCGAAAGCGUGGGGAGCGAACAGGAUUAGAUACCUGGUAGUCCACGCCGUAAACGUUGGGAACUAGGUGUUGGCGACAUUCCACGUCGUCGGUGCCGCAGCUAACGCAUUAAGUUCCCGCCUGGGGAGUACGGCCGCAAGGCUAAAACUCAAAGGAAUUGACGGCUUGAGACGUUGCGAGGCGACGACGAGGGAGAGG